AGAGUUUGAUCAUGGCUCAGAUUGAACGCUGGCGGCAGGCCUAACACAUGCAAGUCGAGCGGUAGCACAGAGAGCUUGCUCUCGGGUGACGAGCGGCGGACGGGUGAGUAAUGUCUGGGAAACUGCCUGAUGGAGGGGGAUAACUACUGGAAACGGUAGCUAAUACCGCAUAACGUCGCAAGACCAAAGUGGGGGACCUUCGGGCCUCAUGCCAUCAGAUGUGCCCAGAUGGGAUUAGCUAGUAGGUGGGGUAACGGCUCACCUAGGCGACGAUCCCUAGCUGGUCUGAGAGGAUGACCAGCCACACUGGAACUGAGACACGGUCCAGACUCCUACGGGAGGCAGCAGUGGGGAAUAUUGCACAAUGGGCGCAAGCCUGAUGCAGCCAUGCCGCGUGUGUGAAGAAGGCCUUCGGGUUGUAAAGCACUUUCAGCGGGGAGGAAGGCGGUGAGGUUAAUAACCUCAUCGAUUGACGUUACCCGCAGAAGAAGCACCGGCUAACUCCGUGCCAGCAGCCGCGGUAAUACGGAGGGUGCAAGCGUUAAUCGGAAUUACUGGGCGUAAAGCGCACGCAGGCGGUCUGUCAAGUCGGAUGUGAAAUCCCCGGGCUCAACCUGGGAACUGCAUUCGAAACUGGCAGGCUAGAGUCUUGUAGAGGGGGGUAGAAUUCCAGGUGUAGCGGUGAAAUGCGUAGAGAUCUGGAGGAAUACCGGUGGCGAAGGCGGCCCCCUGGACAAAGACUGACGCUCAGGUGCGAAAGCGUGGGGAGCAAACAGGAUUAGAUACCCUGGUAGUCCACGCUGUAAACGAUGUCGAUUUGGAGGUUGUGCCCUUGAGGCGUGGCUUCCGGAGCUAACGCGUUAAAUCGACCGCCUGGGGAGUACGGCCGCAAGGUUAAAACUCAAAUGAAUUGACGGGGGCCCGCACAAGCGGUGGAGCAUGUGGUUUAAUUCGAUGCAACGCGAAGAACCUUACCUGGUCUUGACAUCCACAGAACUUUCCAGAGAUGGAUUGGUGCCUUCGGGAACUGUGAGACAGGUGCUGCAUGGCUGUCGUCAGCUCGUGUUGUGAAAUGUUGGGUUAAGUCCCGCAACGAGCGCAACCCUUAUCCUUUGUUGCCAGCGGUCCGGCCGGGAACUCAAAGGAGACUGCCAGUGAUAAACUGGAGGAAGGUGGGGAUGACGUCAAGUCAUCAUGGCCCUUACGACCAGGGCUACACACGUGCUACAAUGGCAUAUACAAAGAGAAGCGACCUCGCGAGAGCAAGCGGACCUCAUAAAGUAUGUCGUAGUCCGGAUUGGAGUCUGCAACUCGACUCCAUGAAGUCGGAAUCGCUAGUAAUCGUAGAUCAGAAUGCUACGGUGAAUACGUUCCCGGGCCUUGUACACACCGCCCGUCACACCAUGGGAGUGGGUUGCAAAAGAAGUAGGUAGCUUAACCUUCGGGAGGGCGCUUACCACUUUGUGAUUCAUGACUGGGGUGAAGUCGUAACAAGGUAACCGUAGGGGAACCUGCGGUUG
rnacentral:rRNA from 3 species